rnacentral:lncRNA from 1 species
AAAAGGGACUUCGUGCGUUCAAAUUUUUGCAUCCCUUUAAUCAUUACCAACUCUUAGGGCUUGUUUGGUUAAAGGGUGGAAUUGGAAUGGAUAAUGGAAUGGAAACGAAUUGGAAUGAUAAUUAGAAUGAUCCACUCUCUUAAGACGUUUGGUUUAUUUGUGGAUUGGGAAUUGGAAUGAGUUAUUCACAUUUUAUUGUUUGGUUCGUAUAAACUAAAAAAAUUAUAGGAUACUAUAAUACUAAUUUUACUCUCAAAUAUAAAUUUAUAUUAUUUAAAAUUUAUGAAAAAUAUAAUACUAUUAAUAAGUUUUCCAAAAAAAAUAUCAAAUUUAUUUUUAAAAAUUUUUAUUGAUGUGGGUUAGGGAUAGGGUUUUAAGAGAGAAUAGAUUUUUUUUUUUUUUUGAUGGGAAAGAGGUGAAGAGAAGGAGGGUGAGACAGUCAAAUGGGCUUCGAAAAUUUAGUGAGCUUCCGGAAUAAAAUCUCAAUUCAGGCAAGAAGACCGGAAUCAAGUUGAAGGCUAAUGGGCUAUUCCCAUUCCAGUCCGAAAUAGGAAUCCCAAACCGAUUCAUGCGAACCAAACAAAAUUAAUCGGAUUUGAUCAAACCGAUUUUCCAUUCCAUAUCCAAAAUGGAUGAACCAAACAAGCCCUUAGAUUAAUACUAUUACACUG